UACGAAGGGGGCUAGCGUUGUUCGGAUUUACUGGGCGUAAAGCGCACGUAGGCGGAUCGUUAAGUCGGGGGUGAAAUCCUGGAGCUCAACUCCAGAACUGCCUUCGAUACUGGCGAUCUUGAGUCCGGAAGAGGUGAGUGGAACUCCUAGUGUAGAGGUGGAAUUCGUAGAUAUUCGGAAGAACACCAGUGGCGAAGGCGGCUCACUGGCCCGGUACUGACGCUGAUGUGCGAAAGCGUGGGGAGCAAACAGG
rnacentral:rRNA from 1 species